GAUAGGAGACAAGAGGCAUCUUCUUGUUUUUAAAAGACCUAGCAAUAGGUAUGCUUAGGGAGGAGCUUGCGUCACAUUAGUUAGUUGGUGGGGUAAAGGCCUACCAAGACUAUGAUGUGUAGCCGGGCUGAGAGGUUGAACGGCCACAUUGGGACUGAGACACGGCCCAAACUCCUACGGGAGGCAGCAGUAGGGAAUUUUCGGCAAUGGAGGAAACUCUGACCGAGCAACGCCGCGUGAACGAUGAAGUAUUUCGGUACGUAAAGUUCUUUUAUUAGGGAAGAAUAAAUGAUGGAAAAAUCAUUCUGACGGUACCUAAUGAAUAAGCCCCGGCUAACUAUGUGCCAGCAGCCGCGGUAAUACAUAGGGGGCAAGCGUUAUCCGGAAUUAUUGGGCGUAAAGGGUGCGUAGGCGGUUAAAUAAGUUUAUGGUCUAAGUGCAAUGCUCAACAUUGUGAUGCUAUAAAAACUGUUUAGCUAGAGUAAGAUAGAGGCAAGUGGAAUUCCAUGUGUAGUGGUAAAAUGCGUAAAUAUAUGGAGGAACACCAGUAGCGAAGGCGGCUUGCUGGGUCUUUACUGACGCUGAGGCACGAAAGCGUGGGGAGCAAACAGGAUUAGAUACCCUGGUAGUCCACGCCGUAAACGAUGAGUACUAAACGUUGGGUAAAACCAGUGUUGAAGUUAACACAUUAAGUACUCCGCCUGAGUAGUACGUACGCAAGUAUGAAACUUAAAGGAAUUGACUGGACUCCGCACAAGCGGUGGAUCAUGUUGUUUAUUUCGAAUGUACCCGAAAACCCUCACCACCCCUUGACAUGCUUCUGCAAAGCUGUAGAAACACAGUGGAGGUUAUCAGUUGCACAGGUGGUGCAUGGUUGUCGUCAGCUCGUGUCGUGAGAUGUUGGGUUAAGUCCCGCAACGAGCGCAACCCUUAUUGUUAGUUACCAGCACGUAAUGGUGGGGACUUUAGCAAGACUGCCAGUGAUAAAUUGGAGGAAGGUGGGGACGACGUCAAAUCAUCAUGCCCCUUAUGACCUGGGCUACAAACGUGAUACAAUGGCUGUUACAAAGGGUAGCUGAAGCGCAAGUUUUUGGCGAAUCUCAAAAAAACAGUCUCAGUUCGGAUUGAAGUCUGCAACUCGACUUCAUGAAGUUGGAAUCGCUAGUAAUCGCGAAUCAGCAUGUCGCGGUGAAUACGUUCUCGGGGUUUGU
rnacentral:rRNA from 1 species